GAUGAACGCUGGCGGCGUGCCUAAUACAUGCAAGUCGAGCGAACGGACGAGAAGCUUGCUUCUCUGAUGUUAGCGGCGGACGGGUGAGUAACGCGUGGAUAACCUACCUAUAAGACUGGGAUAACUUCGGGAAACCGGAGCUAAUACCGGAUAAUAUUUUGAACCGCAUGGUUCAAAAGUGAAAGACGGUCUUGCUGUCACUUAUAGAUGGAUCCGCGCUGCAUUAGCUAGUUGGUAAGGUAACGGCUUACCAAGGCAACGAUGCAUAGCCGACCUGAGAGGGUGAUCGGCCACACUGGAACUGAGACACGGUCCAGACUCCUACGGGAGGCAGCAGUAGGGAAUCUUCCGCAAUGGGCGAAAGCCUGACGGAGCAACGCCGCGUGAGGGAUGAAGGUCGUCGGAUCGUAAAACUCUGUUAUUAGGGAAGAACAUAUGUGUAAGUAACUGUGCACAUCGUGACGGAACCUAAUCAGAAAGCCACGGCUAACGACG
rnacentral:rRNA from 1 species